UGGGGAAUAUUGGGCAAUGGGGGAAACCCUGACCCAGCAACGCCGCGUGAAGGAAGAAGGCUUCGGGUUGUAAACUUCUUUUAUCCACGGGAGCGAAGGACGUGACGGUACCUGGAGAAAAAGCAACGGCUAACUACGUGCCAGCAGCCGCGGUAAUACGUAGGUUGCAAGCGUUGUCCGGAUUUACUGGGUGUAAAGGGCGUGUAGGCGGAGAAGCAAGUUGGGAGUGAAAUCCAUGGGCUCAACCCAUGAACUGCUCUCAAAACUGUUUCCCCUUGAGUAUCGGAGAGGCAAGCGGAAUUCCUAGUGUAGCGGUGAAAUGCGUAGAUAUUAGGAGGAACACCAGUGGCGAAGGCGGCUUGCUGGACGACAACUGACGCUGAGGCGCGAAAGCGUGGGGAGCAAACAGGAUUAGAUACC
rnacentral:rRNA from 1 species